UGCAUCGGCCGGGAAUCGAACCCGGGGCCGCCAGCGUGGCAGGCGAGCAUUCUACCACUGAACCACCGAUGG
rnacentral:tRNA from 1 species